rnacentral:rRNA from 1 species
AGCGAACGCUGGCGGCAGGCCUAACACAUGCAAGUCGAACGAACCCUUCGGAGUUAGUGGCGGACGGGUGAGUAACACGUGGGAACGUGCCCUUAGGUUCGGAAUAACUCAGGGAAACUUGUGCUAAUACCGAAUGUGCCCUUCGGGGGAAAGAUUUAUCGCCUUUAGAGCGGCCCGCGUCUGAUUAGCUAGUUGGUGAGGUAAUGGCUCACCAAGGCUACGAUCAGUAGCUGGUCUGAGAGGAUGACCAGCCACAUUGGGACUGAGACACGGCCCGAACUCCUACGGGAGGCAGCAGUGGGGAAUCUUGCGCAAUGGGCGAAAGCCUGACGCAGCCAUGCCGCGUGGAUGAUGAAGGUCUUAGGAUUGUAAAAUCCUUUCACCGGUGAAGAUAAUGACUGUAGCCGGAGAAGAAGCCCCGGCUAACUUCGUGCCAGCCGCCGCGGUAACAC